UACAGGGGGUGCAAACGUUGCUCGGAAUCAUUGGGCGUAAAGCGCACGUAGGCGGUUCGUUAUGUCGGAUGUGAAAGCCCUUGGCUUAACCGAGGAAGUGCAUCCGAAACUGGCGAGCUAGAGUACGAAAGAGGAUCGCGGAAUUCCCGGUGUAGAGGUGAAAUUCAUAGAUAUCGGGGAGGAACACCGGUGGCGAAGGCGGCGAUCUGGGUCGAUACUGACGCUGAGGUGCGAAAGCGUGGGGGAGCAAACAGG
rnacentral:rRNA from 1 species